UACGGAGGGGGCUAGCGUUGUUCGGAAUUACUGGGCGUAAAGGGCGCGUAGGCGGUACUUCAAGUCAGACGUGAAAGCCCCGGGCUCAACCUGGGAACCGCGCUUGAGACUGGCAUGCUCGAGUUCGGGAGAGGAUGGUGGAAUUCCCAGUGUAGAGGUGAAAUUCGUAGAUAUUGGGAAGAACACCGGAUGGCGAAGGCAGCCAUCUGGACCGACACUGACGCUGAGGCGCGAAAGCGUGGGGAGCAAACAGG
rnacentral:rRNA from 1 species